CCUACGGGAGGCAGCAGUGGGGGAUAUUGCACAAUGGGGGGAACCCUGAUGCAGCGACGCCGCGUGGGUGAAGGAGUGCUUCGGCAUGUAAAGACUUAUCGGCAGGGAAGAAGCAAGACGGUACCUGACUAAGAAGCCCCGGCUAACUACGUGCCAGUAGCCGCGGUAAUACGUAGGGGGCGAGCGUUAUCCGGAUUCACUGGGUGUAAAGGGAGCGUAGACGGCCAUGCAAGCCAGGGGGGAAAGCCCGGGGCCCAACCCCGGGACUGCCGUUGGAACUGUGUGGCCAGAGUGCGGGAGGGGCAGGCGGAAUUCCUGGUGUAGCGGUGAAAUGCGUAGAUAGCAGGAGGAACUCCGGCGGCGAAGGCAGCCUGCUGGACCGCGACUGACGUUGAGGCUCGAAAGCGUGGGGAGCGAACAGGAUUAGAUACCCUUGUAGUC
rnacentral:rRNA from 1 species